rnacentral:rRNA from 1 species
UACGUAUGGUGCAAGCGUUAUCCGGAUUUACUGGGUGUAAAGGGAGCGCAGGCGGUGCGGCAAGUCUGAUGUGAAAGCCCGGGGCUCAACCUCGGGACUGCAUUGGAAACUGUCGUACUAGAGUGUCGGAGAGGUAAGUGGAAUUCCUAGUGUAGCGGUGAAAUGCGUAGAUAUUAGGAGGAACACCAGUGGCGAAGGCGGCUUACUGGACGAUAACUGACGCUGAGGCUCGAAAGCGUGGGGAGCAAACAGG